rnacentral:rRNA from 1 species
UACGUAGAGGGCGAGCGUUGUCCGGAUUUACUGGGCGUAAAGGGUGAGUAGGCGGUUAUAUAUGUCAGGUGUAAAAAGCUAUGGCUUAACCAUAGUAAGCACUUGAAACUGUAUGACUUGAGUGCAGGAGAGGUAAGCGGAAUUCCUAGUGUAGCGGUGAAAUGCGUAGAUAUUAGGAGGAACACCGGUGGCGAAGGCGGCUUACUGGACUGUAACUGACGCUGAGUCACGAAAGCGUGGGUAGCAAACAGGAUUAGAUACCCCGGUAGUCCCUGA